GACGAGCGCUGGCGGCGUGCUUAACACAUGCAAGUCGUACGGUAAGGCCCUUUCGGGGGUACACGAGUGGCGAACGGGUGCGUAACACGUGAGUAACCUGCCCACAACUUUGGGAUAACGCUAGGAAACUGGUGCUAAUACUGGAUAUGUGCUCCUGCUGCAUGGUGGGGGUUGGAAAGCUCCGGCGGUUGUGGAUGGACUCGCGGCCUAUCAGCUUGUUGGUGGGGUAGUGGCCUACCAAGGCGGCGACGGGUAGCCGGCCUGAGAGGGUGACCGGCCACAUUGGGACUGAGAUACGGCCCAGACUCCUACGGGAGGCAGCAGUGGGGAAUAUUGCACAAUGGGCGCAAGCCUGAUGCAGCAACGCCGCGUGCGGGAUGACGGCCUUCGGGUUGUAAACCGCUUUCAGCAGGGACGAAGCUUUUUGUGACGGUACCUGCAGAAGAAGCACCGGCUAACUACGUG
rnacentral:rRNA from 1 species